AUAAUUUAUACUUUAAUUCAUUCAAAUGCAUGAAAACAAAAGUUAUUAACCCAACACUUUGACAGAAUUCUACCAAAAAGACUUACACUUAAAAAAAGUGAGAAUUUAAAACUAUAAAUAUUCUGACAGCAUAACUGAUGCGUAGGAGCCUGAUAAUCCACUGAGGAUCGUCUUUGUUUUACAACUACUUUAGCUGGUAUCAGGUGUGGAGAGAAAGUACAUCACCACCAGCAUCACUUUUUCAUUGUUAAAAUGUCAUUGCAUUUCAUGGACUUUUGCCAAACCCUUACUGACAACAUCCAUCAAAGUUACCAAACAGGUUUAUUGGGUAAUGCAGUUCCUCUCUUCAUCUGCUUUUGGUCAGUUCAAGUUCAUAUGAUCUGAUGUGAUAUAAUCUUAUCUUACCUUAAUAACAUCCACAUACUGUACUAUAAGCAGAACUGACCUAUAAUCUUAGCUGUUCUACUAAUAACCAUGGCUGAACCCCUUAUGUGUGUUAGCUAUUUAUAGUAAAACAGCUAAACAAAGUGCAGAUGCUAACAAAUGUACCGGUAAGUGAUUAAGCGCCAGAUUUAUAAUAAUUUAGCAAUUAGCACCACCUCCUGACAGUAAUAGGUAACAUUAUCUGACAUUAGACCUCCUGAAUAUUACUAAAUGUCAUUAACAGUUUAAAGUUUGGUUAGUUAUUGAAAAUAACCAAAUACAUGUACCCACUAAGAGCAGGUAACAUUAGACACCCCAACAGGGGCUUGAGAUGUUCUUUCAACAGGCCCUUUUAUGUGCAUACAUGGAAAUACUAAGGCAAGGAGAGCAACAGCAAAAAACAAACAAACAACCAAAACGGGUACAAACCAAGACAAGCAUCAAUGACAGAAAUGAGAUGAUAAGUCAGACACAGCAUGAAAAGGAA